rnacentral:lncRNA from 1 species
UGGUAGGCGGAUACGUUAAAAGCCGACUCUGAUGCUAUGAACCUUGGUCCGACCAUUUUCCACCUCAUGGCCUACUUGAUUGAUAAGCAUAGACCUGGCAAAACAAACCAAUGAAUCCAAAAUCCCACUUCUAAGCAACCUGCGGAAUGGAAAUUGUCGCCCGUUAAAUUCCGAAACCAUAACAAAAUGCAAAAAAAAUAAACUAAAGGACAGAAAUCACGGUUGUGCAUUCCUAGAGAUUUUACCAUCUGCAUUUCAAUAGCAUUAAGAGAAGGAAAGUCUACAAUUGAUGAUUUAAAUAAGUUGCAUGGUUUACCUGCUCUUCAAUCGUUUGCAAAGGUCCAAAACAUUACGGAUGCGGAGAGCCGGCAUUUCCAAGACGCCGGUAGCGAACAACUUUGAUUAGCAAAUGCCAUUGGGAACCUGCCAUUAGAAUUCCCAUCGACCAAAGAUGUAAGCAAUCAAGCAACAACUCAACAGGUCAUGGUGGUAGAGGCAAC